rnacentral:rRNA from 1 species
AAUAGUUUCUUUGGUGGUGACCUACUACAUGGAUAACCGUAGUAAUUCUAGAGCUAAUACAUGCGUAAAGUCCCGACUCUCGCGCGGAGGGAUGUAUUUAUUAGAUAAAAAACCAAUGCGGGCUCUGCCCGGUUUUGUGGUGAAUCAUAGUAACUUUUCGAAUCGCAUGGCUUCACGCCGGCGAUAGUUCAUUCAAAUUUCUGCCCUAUCAGCUUUCGACGGUAGUGUAGUGGACUACCGUGGCGUUAACGGGUAACGGAGAAUUAGGGUUCGAUUCCGGAGAGGGAGCCUGAGAAACGGCUACCACA